rnacentral:rRNA from 1 species
ACUACGGGUGGCAGCAGUCGAGAAUCAUUCACAAUGGGGGAAACCCUGAUGGUGCGACGCCGCGUGGGGGAAUGAAGGCCUUCGGAUUGUAAACCCCUGUCAUGUGGGAGCAAAUUAAAAAGAUAGUACCACAAGUGGAAGAUACGGCUAACUCUGUGCCAGCAGCCGCGGUAAUACAGAGGUCUGAAGCGUUGUUCGGAAUCACGGGGCGUAAAGCGUGCGUAGGCUGUUACGUAAGUCAUGUGUGAAAGGCGCGGGCUCAAACCGCGGACGGCCCAUGAUACUGCGAGCCUAGAGUAAUGGAGGGGGAACCGGAAUGCUCGGUGUAGCAGUGAAAUGCGUAGAUAUCG